UCACCUCACCCUCCUUUUCUGGACAGUGGUCUGUGGAUCCUUAACAGGAACCAGCAGUCAGGUGACUGUGACUCAGACACCAGUAGUGUCCGUUACUCCAGGAACCACAGUCACUCUGACCUGUAAAACAAACUCAGCGGUUUACAAUGGUAAUGAACUACACUGGUACCAACAGAAACCUGGAGAAGCCCCCAAGCCCAUCAUA